AAUUUAUCGUUGUAUACAUAUAAUAUAAGUUAUAUUAUUCAGUGAUCAAUAAUAUUAUAUCCUAUACUUUUCCAACUUUUGUUUAUUUGAUCGAAUCAAGUGAAAUAUUUUCGCAUCGAAUUGCUCCGAGAUUAAAAACGAGCAUACACGAGUAUUAUUCAUAAUAUAUUCGAGCACACCGGUCGUAAUUUACUAUUUGUUCGAUGGCCAGUAGAGAUAUCUCAUUCAAAGUGCACAUUCGUAUUUCGCGCCGAUCCCACGCGAUUAUUAUUCCUGGUCAGUCGUGUACGUGUAGUGUGUACCUAUACAAAUGAAAAAAAAAAUCUACUACAGCGAAUAAGUGCGUUUUAUACAGGGUGAUUCACAUUGAUCGUGAUAGCCAGCGAAUCCAUUGGUGGCGUGACUGGGUAACUGCGAGAUAACUGCUUCAUGGACAAAUCAGGUUGGUGUAUAGUGUAUGUUUAAUUUCAGAUAUGUUAAUGAAAAAAAGUAAAAUUCAGGAACGUCUAGUAGCCUUCAAGUGCCGGCUCCUGGUUCUUAGGUUGUAAACGAGAUCGUUUUCAAUUUUACUGAUGCCGUUUUAUAGAAAUAAAAAAAAAAAAAAACACGCAUCUCCACUUUCAGCGAUUAUAAUAUAUCUAUGCGC